rnacentral:rRNA from 1 species
CCUACGGGAGGCAGCAGUAGGGAAUAUUGGGCAAUGGAGGCAACUCUGACCCAGCCAUGCCGCGUGCAGGAAGAAGGCCUUCUGGGUUGUAAACUGCUUUUGGAAGGGAACAAAACGGCUCUGCGGAGCAACUUGAGUGUACCUUCAGAAUAAGCACCGGCUAACUCCGUGCCAGCAGCCGCGGUAAUAA